rnacentral:rRNA from 1 species
CAAUAGCGUAUAUUAAAGUUGUUGCGGUUAAAAAGCUCGUAGUUGGAUUUCUGCCGAGGACGACCGGUCCGCCCUCUGGGUGAGCAUCUGGCUCGGCCUGGGCAUCUUCUUGGAGAACGUAUCUGCACUUGACUGUGUGGUGCGGUAUUCAGGACUUUUACUUUGAGGAAAUUAGAGUGUUUCAAGCAGGCAUACGCCUUGAAUACAUUAGCAUGGAAUAAUGGAAUAGGACUACGGUCUCUUUGUUGGUUUGAGGGACUGCAGUAAUGAUUAAUAGGGAUAGUUGGGGGCAUUAGUAUUUAAUUGUCAGAGGUGGAAUUCUCGGAUUUGUUAAAGACGGACUACUGCGAAAGCAUUUGCCAAGGAUGUUUUCAUUGAUCAAGAACGAAAGUUAGGGGAUCGAAGACGAUCAGAUACCAU